UGCCGACAUUUUUCACAGAUAUGUUUCUGUUUAAUUCCUGUGAUCUCGUCUCAUGAUGCCUUUCACAGUCAAUACCUUACAGUGAGACGGAAGACUUGGCACAGAGCUCCUUAUCUGAUUGGUGGAGCACCAGUCAAAGCCCAACACAAAGACACUCAGACAACCCCUCAGCUACCUACCAUGAUUGUGAUCUCACAGAACAAUGCCACUGUGAUGCAGACAAUGGAUCACCCUGAACCUGUAUACUAUGGGAAGCUGCUCCAGGGCAGGUAAGAGGGAGGGUGUCGGACAGAGGAGAACAUACGUGACGUCUGCCUGUCAAUGUCCUUGAUUGUGUGCUGGGAUCUCCGGUGUGUGCCUCUCUUAGGCUGAAGCCCCUGUCUCUUGCUGUUGUCUCUGGCCCAGCUACAGAUCAGUGUCAGGGUAUCAGACCAGACUUCCGGCCAAAACAGCCCAAGGCUCCAUAACAGGUCAGAGACAACACAUUGGGUGAUUCUUAAAAUAUGUCAACUACAUCACAAACUACAUCAUAUCACAUCUUGUUUCAUGGGCUUUGUGUUUAGAGAGCAGUAAUGACCAUUUCUAUUUAACCUGUG
rnacentral:lncRNA from 1 species